CCUUGGGGCCCUGGAUUUGGAGGGUCAGGAGGACCUGGAGGCUUUGGUCCUGGGGGUCCCGGUCCUUGGGGCCCUGGAUUUGGAGGUCCUGUUGGUUUCUUUGGUGGCUUUGCUAAUGGUUUGUGCAACAUGAUAUCUUCAUGCUUCUACUGCCUCUGCUGUUGUUGGAUACUACAAGACUGCUUUGGUGGACCCCGUGGUUAUGGCCCUCCCCCUUUCUAAUCCUCUCUCACCUGCCGCCUGCUGCUCUGCUUGUGUUGUGUAAUAAUGCCUUUUAAUAAGCUUCACAAUCUAGUAAUUGCUUCUUACUGUUGUUUUCCCUACUCUUUUCAUAUAUUCUGUAAACUUUUAUCAGCGUUGAUAAAUGAUGUUAUAGACUGGUUGGAAUUUCGUUGUUC